UCAUAUAGUUAAAUAGCAGUCUCUCAAAUCUUUACGAACAACGCUCAUAAAACAAUUUGAGACGGGGGUUGCGCUCGUUAGAGGAAUUAACCAAACAUUUCACAACACGAGCUGACGACAGCCAUGCAAGACCUGUUAAUAGGAAUUUUUACUUUUAAAUUCUUAUAAAAGUCAUUGAAAUAUUAAAUCAACAUUUUCCUACUUCUGUCUUGAAUUGGUAAGAUUUUGCGCGUUAUAUCGGAUUAAACCACAUGCUCCACCGCUUGUACAAAUCUCAGUCAAUUUCUUUGAAUUUCAACCUUGCGGCCGUACUACUCAGGUGGAAUGUUUAACGCGUUAGCUAAAGCACCGAGACUAUCAGUCCCAACACUAAACAUUCAUCGUUUACGGCACGGACUAC
rnacentral:misc_RNA from 1 species